rnacentral:rRNA from 1 species
UACGAAGGGGGGCUAGCGUUGCUCGGAAUCACUGGGCGUAAAGGGUGCGUAGGCGGGUUUUUUAAGUCAGAGGUGAAAUCCUGGAGCUCAACUCCAGAACUGCCUUUGAUACUGAAAGUCUUGAGUAUGGGAGAGGUGAGUGGAACUGCGAGUGUAGAGGUGAAAUUCGUAGAUAUUCGCAAGAACACCAGUGGCGAAGGCGGCUCACUGGCCCAUAACUGACGCUGAGGCACAAAGC